AUUGAACGCUGGCGGCAGGCCUAACACAUGCAAGUCGAGCGGAGCAGCGGCCGGGUGAGUAAUGCCUAUGAAUCUGCCUGGUAGUGGGGGAUAACGUCCGGAAACGGGCGCUAAUACCGCAUACUAUCAGAUGAGCCUAGGUCGGAUGAGCUAGUUGGUGGGGUAAAGGCAUACCUAGGCGACGAUCCGUAACUGGGUUGAGAGGAUGAUCAGUCAAACUGGAACUGAGACACGGUCCAGACUCCUACGGGAGGCAGCAGUGGGUAAUAUUGCACAAUGGGCGAAAGCCUGAUCCAGCCAUGCCGCGUGUGUGAAGAAGGGCUUCGGAUUGUAAAGCACUUUAAGUUGGGAGGCGUUACCAACAGAAUAAGCACCGGCUAACUUCGUGCCAGCAGCCGCGGUAAUUC
rnacentral:rRNA from 1 species